UGAACUAAACUUUAUUUUUGUCCACUCACAACUUUCGGUUUUGAGCCCCCCAGCCAGUAGUUGACUAAGCUCUGCAGCAGAGUCGGAUCGUGUGCUUCCGAGCCUUGAGCCUUCGUAGGACUCUUUCUUUUAAUUCCGUUUGAACUUCGUUCUUGUUGUAAUUGAAUUCCUUAGAUAUGCUCAGUUAUCGCCCAUAGUAGGGUUUGAUUUAUGAGGCCGGAUGCCUUUGUUGUAAACUGUUUAUUCGCUUUAAAAGCAUGUUGCCAGUUGGGUUAUUAAACUGUGAUUUUUGAACAGCUUGAAUUUUGGGAAAUGUUCAAUUUACAAGGGAGACUCUGCCAAAAUUUUCGAUAGAAAGUCUCAUUCUUUAGUAAGUGGGCCUGGCAUUGGGAUGAUGUCGGAAUUAAGACGGGAUUCGUCUCGGUUUUUCGAAGAAAUCCGGGGCGGGUCCUGUCAAUUUGUUGGUCCGAAAUGUAGUAUCAAAGCAAAGAAUGUCUCCAAAGCAAUCAUAGUCUAAUUUUGAUCUACCAUCUCUCCCAAAAAAAAAAUUUCGUCAUCCGAGCACACUGAUCCACUUAAACACUAUAGAAAAAAUUAGGAUCCUCAGCUUGUUUAAGCUUAAAAUGAUUGAUCAAACUUUGUG
rnacentral:lncRNA from 1 species